rnacentral:rRNA from 1 species
UACAGGGGGUGCAAACGUUGCUCGGAAUCAUUGGGCGUAAAGCGCACGUAGGCGGCUUUCUAAGUCGGGGGUGAAAUCCUGGAGCUCAACUCCAGAACUGCCUUCGAUACUGGAGAGCUUGAGUCCGGGAGAGGUGAGUGGAACUGCGAGUGUAGAGGUGAAAUUCGUAGAUAUUCGCAAGAACACCAGUGGCGAAGGCGGCUCACUGGCCCGGUACUGACGCUGAGGUGCGAAAGCGUGGGGAGCAAACAGG